GACGAACGCUGGCGGCGUGCUUAACACAUGCAAGUCGAACGGAAACGCCGUGCCUUGGUGGGGUGCUCGAGUGGCGAACGGGUGAGUAACACGUGAGUAACCUGCCCUUGACUUGGGGAAAACUGCAGAAAACCGGGGCAAAUCCCGGAUCGGAGCUCCUGCUGCAUGGUGGGGGCUGGAAAGUUUCGGCGGUUGGGGAUGGACUCGCGGCUUAUCGGCUUGGUGGUGGGGUAGUGGCUUACCAAGGCCGUGCCGGGUAGCCGGCCUGAGGAGGUGACCGGCCCCCUUGGGCCUACGGUACGGACCAGUCUCGUACGGGGGACAGCAGUCGGGAGUAUUGCCCAGUGGGCGGACGCCUGUUGAGGAGGCGCCGCGGUCGGAAAGACGGCCUUCGCGUUGAAAAACGCUUUGCCCUGUGACGAAGGGUGAGUGACGGUACCGGGUAAAGAAGCACCGGCUAACUACGUG
rnacentral:rRNA from 1 species